AUUGAACGCUGGCGGCAGGCCUAACACAUGCAAGUCGAGCGGAUGAAGGGAGCUUGCUCCUGGAUUCAGCGGCGGACGGGUGAGUAAUGCCUAGGAAUCUGCCUGGUAGUGGGGGAUAACGUCCGGAAACGGGCGCUAAUACCGCAUACGUCCUGAGGGAGAAAGUGGGGGAUCUUCGGACCUCACGCUAUCAGAUGAGCCUAGGUCGGAUUAGCUAGUUGGUGGGGUAAAGGCCUACCAAGGCUACGAUCCGUAACUGGUCUGAGAGGAUGAUCAGUCACACUGGAACUGGGACACGGUCCAGACUCCUACGGGAGGCAGCAGUGGGGAAUAUUGGACAAUGGGCGAAAGCCUGAUCCAGCCAUGCCGCGUGUGUGAAGAAGGUCUUCGGAUUGUAAAGCACUUUAAGUUGGGAGGAAGGGCAGUAAGUUAAUACCUUGCUGUUUUGACGUUACCAACAGAAUAAGCACCGGCUAACUUCGUG
rnacentral:rRNA from 1 species